UACGUAGGGUGCGAGCGUUAAUCGGAAUUACUGGGCGUAAAGAGUGCGUAGGCGGUUUCUCAAGUCCGCUGUGAAAUCCCCGGGCUCAACCUGGGAAUGGCCGUUGAAACUGGCGAACUGGAGUGUGGCAGAGGGGGGUGGAAUUCCGCGUGUAGCAGUGAAAUGCGUAGAGAUGCGGAGGAACACCGAUGGCGAAGGCAGCCCCCUGGGCUAACACUGACGCUCAGGCACGAAAGCGUGGGGAGCAAACAGG
rnacentral:rRNA from 1 species